GAUGAACGCUGGCGGCGUGCCUAAUACAUGCAAGUCGAGCGGACGGACGAGACGCUUGCUUCUCUGCUGUUAGCGGCGGACGGGUGAGUAACACGUGGCUAACCUACCUAUAAGACUGGGAUAACUUCGGGAACCCGGAGCUCAUACCGGAUAAUAUUUUGAACCGCAUGGUUCAACAGUGAAAGACGGUCUUGCUGUCACUUAUAGAUGGAUCCGCGCUGCAUUAGCUAGUUGGUAAGGUAACGGCCUACCAAGGCGACGAUGCAUAGCCGACCUGAGAGGGUGAUCGGCCACACUGGAACUGAGACACGGUCCAGACUCCUACGGGAGGCAGCAGUAGGGAAUCUUCCGCAAUGGGCGAAAGCCUGACGGAGCAACGCCGCGUGAGUGAUGAAGGUCUUCGGAUCGUAAAACUCUGUUAUUUGGGAAGAACAUAUGUGUAUGUAACUGUGCACAUCUUGACGUUACCUAAUCAGAAAGCCACGGCUAACUACGUG
rnacentral:rRNA from 1 species